AAAAAAAGAAACAAAAGGUACUCCCCUCCCUUACCUCUCUCUUUCUCCAGAUUCACACUCUUUAUAUUCCCAUAGCACCUCCCUCCCUCCCUCCCUCUUCACAUCACAACCCUGCUCUUUUCUUAUUCUUCAUUAGCUCUCUCCUUCGCUCUGGGUUUUCUUUAUUCUUCGUCCAAAUCCUCAUAAUAAUCAAAGAUUCCAACUCCUUCCAUUUGGUGGAAGUUACAGUGUAUUGAGUACCUUUUGUUUCUUUUUUUUGUCAAUAAUGGCAGAGGAACUUAGACGAAACCCGAAACCUGAAUCAGUUUCGGAAGAUGCUCAGCCUGAAAUAAAGAGAAACAACUUGCCAAAUUUUCUCCUAUCAGUUAGACUCAAAUAUGUGAAACUAGGUUACCACUAUUUAAUCUCCAAUGCCAUGUAUCUGGUGCUCAUUCCACUUCUGGGUGUUGCCUCUGCUCAUCUUUCGACUCUUACAAUCCAAGACUUAGUUCAGCUAUGGAACCACCUAGAGUUUAAUUUUGUCUCUGUAACACUGUGUUCUGGUCUUAUAGUUUUCUUGGCUACUCUUUACUUCAUGAGCCGCCCAAGAAAAGUGUACUUGGUAAAUUUUGCUUGUUACAAGCCAGAAGCAGUUCGCAUAUGCACGAGAGAAACUUUCAUGGAGAGAUCAGCGCUCGCUGGGAGCUUCACCGAAGAGAACUUGGCCUUUCAAAAGAAGAUCCUGGAGAGGUCCGGGUUGGGGCAAAAGACUUACUUGCCUGAGGCUGUGAUGAGGGUUCCACCAAACCCGUGCAUGGCAGAGGCAAGGAAGGAGGCUGAGACUGUGAUGUUCAGCGCAAUCGAUGAGCUCUUGGCAAAAACUGGGGUUAAAGCCAAGGAUAUAGGGAUCCUUAUUGUAAACUGUAGCUUGUUCAAUCCGACGCCGUCUCUCUCUGCCAUGAUAGUAAAUCACUACAAGCUAAGAGGGAACAUAAUGAGUUAUAACCUUGGUGGUAUGGGCUGCAGUGCUGGGCUUAUUUCCAUCGACCUUGCCAAACAGCUUUUACAGGUAAUUUAUUGACAGAUUGUUGAUUUUUUUUUUUCUCUAUUUGGAUGGAUAUUAUUAUUAUUGUUUUGGAUAAAUUCAACGGUUGUUUUCUAUAUGUUGAGGAUACAAAAUUACAAGGACAAACUAUGGUGACUACAUGCAUCGUGAUGGGAAAUUAGGACUUUUGUUCACAUGCACACAGCUGGUAUAAGGGUAUACCCACCCUUAUUAAUUGAUAUGUUUAGAAAAUUUUAUUAUAUGCAAGCUUAUUUAUUUUAUGCAGGGACGGGAGUUGUAACCAAAUUUAAAAGGAAAAGCUUGUAUUUCAACCAUUAAUGCUACACCCCCAUGCACAGCUGCCUGAGUUAACUAUGGUAGCUUUCAUUUGAUUCACAUCAUCUGGAGAAAAUAAUAUUUUUUUAUAAAAUAUUUAUUUAGAACAAUCGAAUGAAUUGAAAAUAUAACAUAUAUAUUUACAUAUAAAAUAAUUAAAAUUUUCAAUUUAUGAUAAAUAAGUAUUGUUAUUUUUAUAGCACUGUUAUACUUUUGGGCACGUGAAUAAUUGAGUGAUCAUAUCAGGUUCACCCCAACUCCUAUGCUCUAGUGGUGAGUAUGGAGAACAUCACUCUCAAUUGGUACUUUGGCAACGACCGAUCAAUGCUUGUCUCAAACUGCCUCUUCCGAAUGGGUGGUGCCGCCAUCCUUCUCUCCAACCGAGCAUCAGAUGGUCGCCGCUCCAAGUAUCAACUCAUCCACACAGUUCGUACUCAUAAAGGUUCAGAUGAUAAAUGUUACAAUUGUGUGUUCCAGAAAGAGGAUGAAGGUGAACGCAGGAGAAUUGGUGUUUCGCUUUCUAAAGACCUUAUGGCUGUUGCUGGAGAAGCCCUUAAGACCAAUAUCACAACUCUAGGGCCAUUAGUCCUUCCAAUGUCAGAGCAGCUCUUAUUUUUUGCAACUUUAGUGGCGAGAAAGGUCUUUAAAAUGAAGAUCAAACCAUACAUUCCAGAUUUCAAGUUGGCUUUUGAGCACUUCUGCAUCCAUGCAGGAGGAAGAGCUGUUUUAGAUGAGCUAGAGAAAAAUCUUGAUCUUACUGAUUGGCACAUGGAGCCUUCAAGAAUGACUCUUUAUAGGUUUGGUAACACUUCAAGCAGUUCUUUAUGGUAUGAAUUGGCUUACUCUGAAGCCAAGGGGAGAAUCAGGAAGGGUGAUAGAACAUGGCAGAUUGCAUUUGGUUCAGGAUUCAAGUGUAACAGUGCUGUGUGGCGUGCAUUGAAGACAAUCAAUCCAGCCAAAGAAAAGAACCCUUGGAUGGAUGAAAUUGAUGAAUUUCCUGUUCAUGUGCCUAAGGUGGUGUCCAUUAAUUCAUCUUGAAGCUCCAUCGAUCCAUUUAAUCAUCCUUCCUAGCAGCGAGAUUGUGUUUUUAGUUUAAUUAGCAUUUGGUUGAUAUAUAUGCAUGAAAACAAGGUGAUUUUUUUUUCUUCCUGAUAUUGUUAAUGGAUCCAAGCAUUUGUAGGAGGAUUACAAGCUCAACGAAAUUAAAAUUUGUCAAAUAAAAAAUACUUGAUAAAUACAUUAGUGUACUAUAUAUAGUUAUAUUUUGCAACAACCUCAAUCUUGAUUCAAGACUCAGU
rnacentral:misc_RNA from 1 species